GCCCCAAAACGAGAUUGAGGCACAUUAUUAUAUCCUCUUCCCUCAUGUCUACUUCCAGGAGAUCUUCCUUGAUCCUGCUGAGCACCAAAUGACGACGACCGGCCUUUUUCCGUCAUUGCCCGACCUCUUUCCAUCAUAGCCUGGUGAAAACUGCGGCCUGGAGACCACUCACGAGUGGACACCUUGUGAGAAUUGUUGCCGCCACCAUAUGGGGAUCUUGACCUCUCCCGCUGGUUUUGUGCUGGUGAGGUUGCUCGAGCUCUUUCUAUAAUUGCCUGGUGAAAACUGCGGACUGGAGAAUGUUCACGAGUAGAUACCUUGUGAGAAUUGCUGCCACCACCAUAAGGGGAUCUUGACCUCUCUUGUUGGUUUUGAGCUGGUGAGGUUGCUCGAGCUCUUUCCAUCAUUGCCUGGUGAAAACUGCGGACUGGAGACCGUUCACGUGUGAGUGGAACCCUGUCAGGGCUUCGACUCUGACUGCGAUCACGAUUCCAACUCUUACUGCGGUCAACCCAACUUGAUCCCCUAUCAGGGCUUCGACUGCGACU
rnacentral:misc_RNA from 1 species